rnacentral:rRNA from 1 species
GACGAACGCUGGCGGCGUGCUUAACACAUGCAAGUCGGACGAAGAGCGAUGGAAGCUUGCUUCUAUCAAUCUUAGUGGCGAACGGGUGAGUAACGCGUAAUCAACCUGCCCUUCAGAGGGGGACAACAGUUGGAAACGACUGCUAAUACCGCAUACGAUCUGACCUCGGCAUCGAGGAUAGAUGAAAGGUGGCCUCUACAUGUAAGCUAUCACUGAAGGAGGGGAUUGCGUCUGAUUAGCUAGUUGGAGGGGUAACGGCCCACCAAGGCGAUGAUCAGUAGCCGGUCUGAGAGGAUGAACGGCCACAUUGGGACUGAGACACGGCCCAGACUCCUACGGGAGGCAGCAGUGGGGAAUCUUCCGCAAUGGACGAAAGUCUGACGGAGCAACGCCGCGUGAGUGAUGACGGCCUUCGGGUUGUAAAGCUCUGUUAAUCGGGACGAAAGGCCUUUUUGCGAAUAGUGAGAAGGAUUGACGGUACCGGAAUAGAAAGCCACGGCUAACUACGUG